CAAAGGAGUCGUAUACAAAGAAAUUAAAGGAGUCUGUGCAGCGGCUUCGUCCCGAGUUUCAUUUCCCGCGUUCUUCGCUGCUUCAAGGUCCAAGCAUGCAGGGUUGUGGAUUCUCCGGCUCCUGUCAAAGGAUUGCACGGUAAUAUACGCCUCC
rnacentral:lncRNA from 1 species